AAAGCAAGAAACUAAUUGUCCUAUGGUUUCGGCCCAUAACUAGGUGUGUUCACACCCUUGCUUU
rnacentral:tRNA from 1 species